UACGGGGGGGGCAAGCGUUGUUCGGAAUUACUGGGCGUAAAGGGCGCGUAGGCGGGCGAGCAAGUCUAGGGUGAAAUCUUUCGGCUUAACCGGAAAAUAGCCUUGGAUACUGCUGGUCUCGAGGGAGGUAGGGGUCGUUGGAACUUCCGGUGGAGCGGUGAAAUGCGUUGAUAUCGGAAGGAACACCAAUGGCGAAGGCAGCUCGCUGGGACGUUACUGACGCUGAGACGCGAAAGCGUGGGGAGCAAACAGG
rnacentral:rRNA from 1 species